GCGAGCGACACCCUGCUCUCCGUCACAGUCAGUCGGUCGGCCGCCUUCCGAGAGUGUGGUCGUGUCGGGUGUGACGCGGAAGACACAGCAUCAGUGCCGGCGUGGUCUGUGGGGUGAAAGUCAUUUAGUAAUCGAAUAUGAAUCAGCGGUGUUCCGUUUCUUCAUCAAGAAAACAGCUCUAAGAUAAGAAAAA